CCUCGGCGUCACGAUGAACGACUGGCGGCGACUGCUUUACACAUAGCAAGUCGAACGGCGAGCGCGGGGCGAACCUGGCGGCGAGUGGCGAACGGGUGGAGUAAUAUAUCGGAACGUACCCAACGAAGUGGGGGAGUAACGUAAGCGAAAGUUACGCUAAUACCGCAUACGAUCUAAGGAUGAAAGCAGGGGAUCUUCGGACCUUGUGCUCCUGGAGCGGCCGAUAUCUGAUUAGCUAGUUGGUGAGGUAAAGGCUCACCAAGGCGACGAUCAGUAGCUGGUCUGAGAGGACGACCAGCCACACUGGAACUGAGACACGGUCCAGACUCCUACGGAAGGCAGCAGUGGGGAAUUUUGGACAAUGGGCGAAAGCCUGAUCCAGCAAUGCCGCGUGAGUGAAGAAGGCCUUCGGGUUGUAAAGCUCUUUUGUCAGGGAAGAAACGGUGAAGGCUAAUAUCCUUUGCUAAUGACGGUACCUGAAGAAUAAGCACCGGCUAACUACGUG
rnacentral:rRNA from 1 species